rnacentral:misc_RNA from 1 species
GAUGAAGAACGCAGCGAAAUGCGAUACGUAAUGUGAAUUGCAGAAUUCGGUGAAUCAUCGAGUCUUUGAACGCACAUUGCGCCCCCUGGUAUUCCGGGGGGCAUGCCUGUCCGAGCGUCAUUGCUGCCCUCAAGCACGGCUUGUGUGUUGGGCCUCCGUCCUCCUCCCGGGGGACGGGCCCGAAAGGCAGCGGCGGCACCGCGUCCGGUCCUCGAGCGUAUGGGGCUUCGUCACCCGCUCUUGUAGGCCCGGCCGGCGCUUGCCGACACAUCAAUCUUUUUUCCAGGUUGACCUCGGAUCAGGUAGGGAUACCCGCUGAACUUAAGCAUAUCAAUAAGCGGAGGA